rnacentral:rRNA from 1 species
GAUGAACGCUGGCGGCGUGCCUAAUACAUGCAAGUCGAGCGAACGGACGAGAAGCUUGCUUCUCUGAUGUUAGCGGCGGACGGGUGAGUAACACGUGGAUAACCUACCUAUAAGACUGGGAUAACUUCGGGAAACCGGAGCUAAUACCGGAUGAUAUAUUGAACCGCAUGGUUCAAUAGUGAAAGACGGUCUUGCUGUCACUUAUAGAUGGAUCCGCGCUGCAUUAGCUAGUUGGUAAGGUAACGGCUUACCAAGGCAACGAUGCAUAGCCGACCUGAGAGGUGGAUCGCCACCCUGGGACUGGGGCACCGUCCCGAACCCUAAGGGGGGCCAGAGGAGGGAAUUCUCCCGAAUGGGCGAAAGCCUGGCGGAGCAAAGCCGCGUGGGUGAAGAAGGUCUUCGGAUCCUAAAACUCUGUUAUUAGGGAAGAACAAAUGUUGAAAUAACUUUGCACAUCUUGACGGUACCUAAACAGAAAGCCCCGGCUAACUACGUG